GAUGAACGCUGGCGGCGUGCCUAACACAUGCAAGUCGAGCGGGGAAGCCGGAACAUGUAGAGAUAUAUGAGAAAGCAUCCUAGCGGCGGACGGGUGAGUAACACGUGAGGAACCUGCCUUACACAGGGGAAUAACACCGUGAAAACGGUGCUAAUACCGCAUAACACCGCACUAUGGCAUCAUAGAGCGGUCAAAGGAGAGAUCCGGUGUAAGAUGGCCUCGCGCCCGAUUAGUUAGUUGGUGGGGUAAUGGCCUACCAAGACUGCGAUCGGUAGCCGGACUGAGAGGUCGAACGGCCACAUUGGAACUGAGAGACGGUCCAGACUCCUACGGGAGGCAGCAGUGGGGAAUAUUGGGCAAUGGGGGAAACCCUGACCCAGCAACGCCGCGUGAAGGAAGAAGGCC
rnacentral:rRNA from 1 species